rnacentral:rRNA from 1 species
AACCUUCAACAAUGGAUCUCUUGGCUCUUGCAUCGAUGAAGAACGCAGUGAAGUGCGAUAUGUAGUGUGAAUUGCAGAAUUCCGUGAAUCAUCGAAUCUUUGAACGCAUAUUGCGCUCUCUGGUAUUCCGGAGAGUAUGCCUAUUUGAGGGUCAUUU